rnacentral:rRNA from 1 species
UUGAACGCUGGCGGCAGGCCUAACACAUGCAAGUCGAGCGGUAGCACAGAGAGCUUGCUCUCGGGUGACGAGCGGCGGACGGGUGAGUAAUGUCUGGGAAACUGCCUGAUGGAGGGGGAUAACUACUGGAAACGGUAGCUAAUACCGCAUAACGUCGCAAGACCAAAGUGGGGGACCUUCGGGCCUCAUGCCAUCAGAUGUGCCCAGAUGGGAUUAGCUAGUAGGUGGGGUAACGGCUCACCUAGGCGACGAUCCCUAGCUGGUCUGAGAGGAUGACCAGCCACACUGGAACUGAGACACGGUCCAGACUCCUACGGGAGGCAGCAGUGGGGAAUAUUGCACAAUGGGCGCAAGCCUGAUGCAGCCAUGCCGCGUGUGUGAAGAAGGCCUUCGGGUUGUAAAGCACUUUCAGCGGGGAGGAAGGCGGUGAGGUUAAUAACCUCAUCGAUUGACGUUACCCGCAGAAGAAGCACCGGCUAACUCCGUGCCAGCAGCCGCGGUAAUACGGAGGGUGCAAGCGUUAAUCGGAAUUACUGGGCGUAAAGCGCACGCAGGCGGUCUGUCAAGUCGGAUGUGAAAUCCCCGGGCUCAACCUGGGAACUGCAUUCGAAACUGGCAGGCUAGAGUCUUGUAGAGGGGGGUAGAAUUCCAGGUGUAGCGGUGAAAUGCGUAGAGAUCUGGAGGAAUACCGGUGGCGAAGGCGGCCCCCUGGACAAAGACUGACGCUCAGGUGCGAAAGCGUGGGGAGCAAACAGGAUUAGAUACCCUGGUAGUCCACGCCGUAAACGAUGUCGAUUUGGAGGUUGUGCCCUUGAGGCGUGGCUUCCGGAGCUAACGCGUUAAAUCGACCGCCUGGGGAGUACGGCCGCAAGGUUAAAACUCAAAUGAAUUGACGGGGGCCCGCACAAGCGGUGGAGCAUGUGGUUUAAUUCGAUGCAACGCGAAGAACCUUACCUGGUCUUGACAUCCACCGAACUUUCCAGAGAUGGAUUGGUGCCUUCGGGAACUGUGAGACAGGUGCUGCAUGGCUGUCGUCAGCUCGUGUUGUGAAAUGUUGGGUUAAGUCCCGCAACGAGCGCAACCCUUAUCCUUUGUUGCCAGCGGUUAGGCCGGGAACUCAAAGGAGACUGCCAGUGAUAAACUGGAGGAAGGUGGGGAUGACGUCAAGUCAUCAUGGCCCUUACGACCAGGGCUACACACGUGCUACAAUGGCAUAUACAAAGAGAAGCGACCUCGCGAGAGCAAGCGGACCUCAUAAAGUAUGUCGUAGUCCGGAUUGGAGUCUGCAACUCGACUCCAUGAAGUCGGAAUCGCUAGUAAUCGUAGAUCAGAAUGCUACGGUGAAUACGUUCCCGGGCCUUGUACACACCGCCCGUCACACCAUGGGAGUGGGUUGCAAAAGAAGUAGGUAGCUUAACCUUCGGGAGGGCGCUUACCACUUUGUGAUUCAUGACUGGGGUG